rnacentral:rRNA from 1 species
CACGCAUGACACACUGCAUAUCAAUAAGCGGAGGAAAAGAAACUAACAAGGAUUCCCUUAGUAACGGCGAGUGAAGCGGGAAGAGCUCAAAUUUGAAAUCUUCAAGGUUCUACCUUGACGAAUUGUAGUUUAUAGAAGUGUUUUCUGUUAGUAGAGUGGCAAAAGUUCUUUGGAAUAGGACAUCAUAGAGGGUGAGAAUCCCGUAUUUGGUCAUUCUUUCUAGCUUUGUGAUACACUUUCAACGAGUCGGAUUGUUUGGGAAUGCAGUCCAAAAUGGGUGGUAAAUUUCAUCUAAAGCUAAAUAUUGGCGAGAGACCGAUAGCGAACAAGUACCGUGAGGGAAAGAUGAAAAGAACUUUGAAAAGAGAGUUAAACAGUACGUGAAAUUGUCAAAAGGGAAGCGUUUGACACCAGUGUUGUUUUUCCGAAAAUCAAUUACGAAUGUUUUGUUUUUGAGGAAGUUAUGACUUCAUCGGCUUGCUCCUUUCUUUACGAAACUUUCUUAAUGCACUUUUCGGUUAACAAGUCAACAUCAAUUUCUUUUAGUUGUAAAAGGGUAUGAGGAAGGUGGCUUUCUUUUCGGAGAAAGUGUUUAUAGCCUUGUACCUCUAGCAAUCGGAGAGAUUGAGGUCUGCAGCGUAGAUCCUUCGGGGUUAGAUACAUUUGUGCUAAGUUAUAGCCUUUUCAUAGACAACUUGUUGACUAUGAUCAGUCAUGUAGCUUACUCGCUUAUGCUAUUUUACCUACGCUUAGGAUGUUGAGCGCAUGUCUCUCUCU